rnacentral:rRNA from 1 species
UGUUGUUUUUCCGAAAAUCAAUUAUGAAUGGCUUGAUUUUGUGUUGUAUUGACCUUAUCAGCUUUCUGCACUUUUUUCGAGUCUUUCUUAAUGCACUUUUUGGUUAACAAGUCAACAUCAAUUUCUUUUGUUGUAAAAGAGUAUUCGGAAGGUGGCUUUCUUUUCGGAGAAAGUGUUUAUAGCCCUAUACUUCUACAAUCGGAGAGAUUGAGGUCUGCAGCGUAGAUUCUUCGGGGUUAGAUACACUUGUGCUAAGUUGUAGCUUUUCAUAGACAACUUGUUGACUAUGUUUAGUCAUGCGGCUUACUCGCUUGUGCUAUUUUACCUAC